GACAGAGGGGGCAAGCGUUGCUCGGAAUUACUGGGCGUAAAGGGCGCGUAGGCGGCCUUCUAAGUCGAACGUGAAAUCCCCGAGCUCAACUCGGGAACUGCGUCCGAUACUGGCGGGCUUGAAUCCGGGAGAGGGAUGCGGAAUUCCAGGUGUAGCGGUGAAAUGCGUAGAUAUCUGGAGGAACACCGGUGGCGAAGGCGGCAUCCUGGACCGGUAUUGACGCUGAGGCGCGAAAGCUAGGGGAGCAAACGGG
rnacentral:rRNA from 1 species